CCUACGGGAGGCAGCAGUGGGGAAUAUUGCGCAAUGGGCGAAAGCCUGACGCAGCGACGCCGCGUGAGGGAUGAAGGUCUUCGGAUCGUAAACCUCUGUCAGCAGGGAAGAACGGUCACUGUGCUAAUCAGCAGUGAAUUGACGGUACCUGCAAAGGACGCACCGGCCAACUCCGUGCCAGCAGCCGCGGGAAUACGGAGGGUGCGGGCGUUGAUCGGAAUUACUGGGGGUAAAGGGUUAGUAGGCGGUAUGUCAAGUCAGGGGGGAAAUCCCCGCGCUCAACGUGGGAACUGACUUUGAAACUGGCAAACUGGAGUGUGUGAGAGGAUAGUGGAAUGCCAGGUGUAGGAGUGAAAUCCGUAGAUAUCGGGAGGAACAUCAGUGGCGAAGGCGACUAUCUGGCACAUAACUGACGCUGAGGAGCGAAAGCGUGGGUAGCAAACAGGAUUAGAUACCCCUGUAGUC
rnacentral:rRNA from 1 species